AGAGUUUGAUCCUGGCUCAGGAUGAACGCUAGCGACAGGCUUAACACAUGCAAGUCGAGGGGCAGCGGGGAAGUAAGCUUGCUUACUUCCGCCGGCGACCGGCGCACGGGUGAGUAACACGUAUGCAACCUGGCCGUCACAGAGGGAUAACCGGGAGAAAUCCCGCCUAAUACCGCAUAACACCGGGGAAGGACAUCCUUCCCCGGUCAAAGGAGAGAUCCGGUGACGGAUGGGCAUGCGCCGCAUUAGUUAGUUGGCGGUGUAACGGACCACCAAGACGACGAUGCGUAGGGGUUCUGAGAGGAAGGUCCCCCACACUGGUACUGAGACACGGACCAGACUCCUACGGGAGGCAGCAGUGAGGAAUAUUGGUCAAUGGGCGAGAGCCUGAACCAGCCAAGUCGCGUGAGGGAAGACGGUCCUAUGGAUUGUAAACCUCUUUUGCCGGGGAGCAAAGAGCGGCACGUGUGCCGCGCCGAGAGUACCCGGAGAAAAAGCAUCGGCUAACUCCGUGCCAGCAGCCGCGGUAAUACGGAGGAUGCGAGCGUUAUCCGGAUUUAUUGGGUUUAAAGGGUGCGCAGGCGGCGCGUUAAGUCAGCGGUAAAAUUUCGGGGCUCAACCCCGACGAGCCGUUGAAACUGGCGUGCUAGAGUGGGCGAGAAGUAUGCGGAAUGCGUGGUGUAGCGGUGAAAUGCAUAGAUAUCACGCAGAACUCCGAUUGCGAAGGCAGCAUACCGGCGCCCAACUGACGCUCAUGCACGAAAGCGUGGGUAUCGAACAGGAUUAGAUACCCUGGUAGUCCACGCAGUAAACGAUGAGCACUAAUUGUCCGGAGCGAUUGAGCUCUGGGUGAUACAGCGAAAGCGUUAAGUGCUCCACCUGGGGAGUACGCCGGCAACGGUGAAACUCAAAGGAAUUGAC
rnacentral:rRNA from 1 species